rnacentral:rRNA from 1 species
AUUGAACGCUGGCGGCAGGCCUAACACAUGCAAGUCGAACGAGUGGCGGACGGGUGAGUAAUGUCUGGGAAACUGCCCGAUGGAGGGGGAUAACUACUGGAAACGGUAGCUAAUACCGCAUACCAUCGGAUGUGCCCAGAGGGGAUGAGCUGUUAGGUGAGGUAACGGCUCACCGCGGCGACGAUCCCUAGCUGUUCUGGGAGGAUGACCAGACACAAUGGAACUGAGACACGGGCCAGACUCCUACGGGAGGCAGCAGGGGGGAAUAUUGGACAAUGGGCGCAAGCCUGAUACAGCCAUGCCGCGUGUAUGAAGAAGGCCUUCGGGUUGUAAAGCACUUUCAGCGGGGAGGCGUUACCCGCAGAAGAAGCACCGGCUAACUCCGGGCCAGCAGCCGCGGUAAUUC